UAAUUAAGAUAACAGAUGAAACGAUGUUAAUAAAAAGAACAAAAUAAUCAAAUUAUUUUUAUUCAUGUAUAAAAAAAUAUUUUUUUAAUAUAUUUUUAUCGUUUUGAAUGAUAUCUUCAAUAUAAAUUAUAAGAAAUUGAUAGAAUAGUGAUGAACUCCAGGACAGACUAAAUUCAAUAACUUGAAAUAUUGAGAGAGUAAAACGUAAUUUUUUAAAAGUUAGAAAGAAAAAUAAAAAAACGGAUAUGUAUGAUGAAAUUUUUAUAAUUUAGCCAAAAAUAAUAUGGU
rnacentral:lncRNA from 1 species